UUUUCUAUAUAAAGGGAAAUGAGCAUACAUAUAAAAUACAUGUGGUCUUACACGAGCUACGAGAGUUACGUAAGCUUAAUUUAGUUUCAAAAUUGUACAUUUAACAGUAACUAUAGUAGGGUUACACAACGUGUAACAUGUAUUUUCCGUUAUACACGUGUUCAUGCAGUGGAGUAUAUUGUAAAAAUAUGUGUGUACAGAAAUGAAUGCAUAAAGAAUAAUUUAUGGACUAUUAUAAUAUUCUAUAAGCACGUGGAGAUCAAUUCUGCUGGCAUUUAAAACCGAUCAGCUAAAUCAAUGAUAGACGAAAUUUUUCGCAACUACAGAUGUUAAAUCUUACGUAGAUUCAAAAAUAACUUACCAAUUUCCUGAUCCGACGAUACAAACACGUUGUUUGUCUGCCAUGAUUUUGAAUGGUAUACCAAUAACGAAAUUAUACAAUUAUACAGAACAAAAAUGAUCGCAAAGUAAGACACGAUAGCCGUUCACCAUCAAAGCAGGGGAUGACUGGAACUACUUCGAAUGUGGAAAGACUUGCGCUAUUUUUCGCAGAAGUGGGAGUAUGGAAACACUGGCGGUGAUAGGCGGUCUGUUUCUACUGUGCGAGCAAGGUUCCGUUGGUCGACCAAUCAAAGUUCAAUAUGAUAAAAACUAUAUAAAUACCAUCUUUGGACUUUAUCUUGUGGAGAUUAUGUAAUUGUGUCGGCGCAAUC